rnacentral:rRNA from 1 species
AUUGAACGCUGGCGGCAUGCUUUACUCAUGCAAGUCGAACGGCAGCACGGGUGCUUGCACCUGGUGGCGAGUGGCGAACGGGUGAGUAAUACAUCGGAACGUACCUAUUAGUGGGGGAUAACUAAGCGAAAGUUUAGCUAAUACCGCAUACGACCUGAGGGUGAAAGCGGGGGAUCUUCGGACCUCGCGCUAAUAGAGCGGCCGAUGGCUGAUUAGCUAGUUGGUGAGGUAAAGGCUCACCAAGGCGACGAUCAGUAGCGGGUCUUAGGGGACGAUCCGCCACACUGGAACUGAGACACGGUCCAGACUCCUACGGGAGGCAGCAGUGGGGAAUCUUGGACAAUGGGCGAAAGCCUGAUCCAGCAAUGCCGCGUGGGUGAAGAAGGCCUUCGGGUUGUAAAGCCCUUUUGUACGGGAGCAAAUCCUUGUCACUAAUACUGGCUGGGGAUGAGAGUACCGUAAGAAUCAGCACCGGCUAACUACGUGCCAGCCGCCGCCGUAA